AGUGAACGCUGGCGGUAGGCCUAACACAUGCAAGUCGAACGGCAGCACAGUAAGAGCUUGCUCUUACGGGUGGCGAGUGGCGGACGGGUGAGGAAUACAUCGGAAUCUACUUUUUCGUGGGGGAUAACGUAGGGAAACUUACGCUAAUACCGCAUACGACCUACGGGUGAAAGCAGGGGAUCUUCGGACCUUGCGCGAUUGAAUGAGCCGAUGUCGGAUUAGCUAGUUGGCGGGGUAAAGGCCCACCAAGGCGACGAUCCGUAGCUGGUCUGAGAGGAUGAUCAGCCACACUGGAGCUGAGACACGGUCCAGACUCCUACGGGAGGCAGCAGUGGGGAAUAUUGGACAAUAGGCGCAAGCCUGAUCCAGCCAUACCGCGUGGGUGAAGAAGGCCUUCGGGUUGUAAAGCCCUUUUGUUGGGAAAGAAAAGCAGCAGGUUAAUACCCCGCUGUUCUGACGGUACCCAAAGAAUAAGCACCGGCUAACUUCGUG
rnacentral:rRNA from 1 species